UGCGAAGGGGGCUAGCGUUGCUCGGAAUUACUGGGCGUAAAGGGCGCGUAGGCGGAUAUCUAAGUUGGGGGUGAAAUCCCGGGGCCCAACCUCGGAAUUGCCUUCAAAACUGGAUAUCUUGAGUUCGGGAGAGGUGAGUGGAACUCCGAGUGUAGAGGUGAAAUUCGUAGAUAUUCGGAAGAACACCAGUGGCGAAGGCGACUCACUGGCCCGAUACUGACGCUGAGGCGCGAAAGCGUGGGGAGCAAACAGG
rnacentral:rRNA from 1 species